rnacentral:lncRNA from 1 species
CAGACUCUAGAAUCACCUAGGAGACAAGUCUCUGGGCAUGCCUAGGAAAAGCUUUGAAGAUUUGGAUUAAUAGGGGUGGACCCUGACCAUGGGCGGCACAAUUCCAUAGGCUCAGAUCCCAGACAAUGAAAGAGAGCAAGCUGAGCAGUGUUCUCUCUGUUACUGGACUGCAGAUGAAAUGUGACCGGCCACCUAAAGCUUCUCUCGCCCUGCCUCUGCUGCCACUGUGGGCUCUCUUCUCAAACUGAGCCAAAACAAACCACUUCUUCCUUCCUUAAGUUAUGUUCAUUGGCUAUUUCAUUACAAAAAUGAGAAAAGUAACUACUAUCCCUGCCCGCUGAUAUUCAGCACAAAGCAGCCUCAGAGACACUGACCAGACAGCUCAGCUCAGAUGGAGGAUGCGCUUGUGCCUUUACAUGUGGCAGAAUUGAGCCAUGUGGUAUAGGGGAAGGUUCACCGAAGCACUUGACACAGCUGACCUGCCUCUUCCUUCAUGCUCCAGUCCUGUGACAUCAACCUUGACUGAUUGGCUUUCUCACACACUCUUCGACCUCUUCAGCUGCUUCUUCCUCCAAGAACGACCAGCAUGGAGUGAUAACCCUGAAGGUAAAUGUAGCCUUCAUCCUUCAUCAAGCAGAGACUAUUACAGAAUACCACAACCAAUCAAAUGCAGAGUUGCAGAACCAAGUCCCAAUGGAUGCAUCCACAAAACAACUCCUGAACCCAAGGCUUAGGAACACAGCCGAAAGGGGUCAGAAAGACUGUAAGAGCCAAAAGAUCAUGACUGUGCUAUAAGAAGCUACACCCAGAAAGUCUCACCAACAUGACCACAUAGACAUGCUCUGAAUAAGAACAACAAUGAACAUUACAAAGUAGAUGAUGGAAAGCCCAUGAGGUCUCAACUCUACACAAAGAACUAUAAGCAACUAAGAAAUACUGAGAGUGGGAGAAAGUCUCCCCCAGGGAAGAGCUCACCAGUUGUUCAUCCAAUACCAAAUGGUCAGCCUGGAAAUAUACUUAAACAUAACCCUAUACAGGCUGAGCAGGUUACAUUUAGGACUAUAUAUGAAUUAUGUAUUAUGCACAUAAAUAUAUGAAUAUAACAGCAGUUAAAAGAGCCCAUGAGAGAUGGAUAUAGACUGGUUUGAGGAAGAAAAGGAAGGGGGAAAUGAUAUCAUUAUAUCUCAAAAUAAUGUUUUAGAAUAUAAGGACUCAUCUGUAGUCAGCCUUGCUCCCAAACCCCACACCAAUACAUCAAGCACAAACCUAUUCAACUCUGCGUCGUUACAGCUGCCUCCCAACCCAAGACUCGUGAGCUGAGCUUCUGAAAUCACCUCAUGAGCUCUUUGCAGCCCCACCCAUCCAAAACCCUUCAGAGUGUAGCUACUUCCUGUGGUUGGUUUGUCACUUCCUUGGAGAGGGCUUCCUGCAUCCAGCCAUCCUCCUCUGCUGACCUGUUGGACUAGCCCCCUCACUUUACAGCAUUUUAAAUUCUCUUAUUAAUUAAUUGAUCUUUUUCUGCCAUGGCCCAGCGGAAUAUAAACUAGAAGAGUGAGAUUUUUGUGUCCCUCAACGCCUACCACAGAAUCUGGAAUUCGGAAAUACACAGUGAUUAAAACUCACAUGUAGGCAUAGCUAGAAAAGUGCCUUUAUUCCUACAGAAAACAUGGUUUAUAGGGAGGAAGAAGGCACAGAGCUGACUGGAGGGAAAAAAAAAAACAAACAAAUCUGCUUAUGCUAGAUGGCUGGACCUAAGGACUUCACUGAGGACAAAACCAACAUGCCCUAGGCUCAGCAGAUGGCACAUUCACAGGCACCGUCCACUCAGGUCUGCUUGAUUCUGCAUGGUUAUCUCGAAGGAGUGUCUGUCCACCUGACCUACCUCAUUUCCCUUCAAGACUGAAGACACAAAAAAUAAGUCACUGCUUAUUAAACACUUGUAAGUCCAGAAGCAUCAAGUCUUGCAGGAAAGACCACCUUGCCUCGGAUGAGGGCAAUUAUAUAUGGCUGCAGGAGAGACCAAGGAGACUGAAACUUGUAGGCACCAGAUGAUGGGAGGCUUAGACCAGAGAGAGAGCAGCAAAAGUCCAGAGAAAUGCUGGGAUUGUGACUAUGCAAUCGAUAUUUUGAAGACAACACCUGGGCAGAGGGAUGACACCAUUUCCUUCUUUUUUCUUCUAUUUUCUUCUCCUCUGCUGGAGGAAAGGAUCUCGUGAGUGUCCCUACACCCCUGAAGCAGUGAUUUGUUUUGCCUCACAUUAGAGGAAAGCAAUGUAAAGGUGAACCCAAGGAAUACUGCAGCCAUAUUUACAGAGACUUUGGCUCACCGGAACCUGAUGGUGAGGAGUGUUGGGGUUUCCUGUUAAUCUCAGAAGGGCUCUUGGGUGUCAGU